CAAUAGCGUAUAUUUAAGUUGUUGCAGUUAAAAAGCUCGUAGUUGGAUUUCGGUUGAGAACGGCCGGUCCGCCGUUUGGUGUGCACUGGCUGGUUUCAACUUCCUGUAGAGGACGCGCUCUGGCUUCACGGCUGGACGCGGAGUCUACGUGGUUACUUUGAAAAAAUUAGAGUGUUCAAAGCGGGCUUACGCUUGAAUAUUUCAGCAUGGAAUAACACUAUAGGACUCCUGUCCUAUUUCGUUGGUCUCGGGACGGGAGUAAUGAUUAAGAGGAACAGUUGGGGGCAUUCGUAUUUCAUUGUCAGAGGUGAAAUUCUUGGAUUUAUGAAAGACGAACUUCUGCGAAAGCAUUUACCAAGGAUGUUUUCAUUAA
rnacentral:rRNA from 1 species